ensembl:lncRNA
AGCGUAUAGAGUCUAUGUAUGUCUAUGGUCGGCACGUCUGGUAGCAUCUCUGGCUGCUGUUGACCUUGUUUUUGGAGUAAAACACGAUGUUCAGAGGGAGAUGAUGCAACAUCUGGUCCAGCUGAUGGAAGGUCUUGAAGUUCUCUGACUGGCCUCGACUGAAGAUGGUCGUCUCACUGGAUUUAAGGUUCAGAUGCUCAGUAACAAACUCCACCAAUGAGCCAACAGGGAAGCUUUAGGUUUACUAAAUGUUGCUAUGAAGGUAUCACUGUUUUUCUUUGUGAAUGCAAUGUGCUCCAACUGAAACUUGAAUUAGAACUUAGAAGUAAAUCCUUCCAUCUGAAAGGAUUUAGUUGCAUUAAUAACCUCAUAACAUUCUAAUUUUUAUUCCAGUCUUGGCUGGAAAUAGAAUCUCUGUAUUGAUUCAGGUAAAAACUGAACUUCACAGCAUGUUGAAGCAAAACAACCAGAUGAAAACUGUGAUGGUGUUGGAUUGUCAGACCGUAAUGUUGCAGCUCAAAGCAGCUUUUCUAUCUCAGUUCAUUCUGACAUUCAGCUAUGAAUCAACACAGCAGAUGGUGAUCCAUGCUGUGGAAGUCUCACAUCUCCUGAUUUAAUGGAGCUGCUUUGCACUUUUUACACUGUUUAUUCACCAACACUUUAUUUAAUAAAAGUCCCAUCUAGUUUUUAUGAGGAAUGUGAUGUUUUAAUUUCUCUGUGAAUAACUGCAGUCUAAUGUCACAGCUGGAAUUGUAACAUCUGUCCUGAUGUUGAUCAUGAAGUAUUGAUCAGAAUACUUAUGGUUAGCAGUCAUCCCUGAAGUUUUACAUUAAAGUCUUUACUUGUGUUGUGAACUUUGGUAAGAAGCAAAAACUUUUGCGUUGCCAUGGAUACAUGAGUGUUAAAUUCUGUCCAUGUUUUUAUUUUGGGAAAUGCAGUCCAGUUCCAGAAUGUGGAGGAAUUUAGUCUCAAUCACAGUCAACAAAUAUUAUCUGAAAGUCGGGUUAUUGUUGUUUAUCAGCACAAUACAAAAAGAUUAAUGUUAGAAAUAUUCCAGUUAAGACUCUAGAAUAUCAUGAUUUAUGUAAAUUUCCCUCAAUAAUAUGAAUGUUCAGGUUAAGAUUGUACAGUGAUAUUUAUUAUGUAAGUUUAGCUGAUUAAAGUUUAUUACUCUGCACUAAAAUAUUAUUUAAAUUGACAUCAUAUUUAUAAUAUUUAGGGUCAGACCCUACAGUAUUGAGAUUAAGAAAUCAAAUAUUUUAUAAAAUGUAAAUACACUGAACUCAUUUGGAUAUAUUUAAAUGAGACUCUACAAUACUAUUUGACACAAAUCUGUCUAAAUCAAAAUUUUAAUCAUUUUUACUCUAAACAUUUACUGGACUAAUUUAAACAUUAAAAUCACUCCUUUCUAAUCCUCUGCUGUACGUUCAAACCUGAGGCCUUAAAUAGAAACACACAAGUAUCCGAUCGAAGGAACUUCUGCAGAGUCCUGGUUCCCGAACAUGAUGAUAGAAUUAUAGACAAACUUUAACAAAAGCUUCCUGAGAGUUUACAGGUUUUUAUGUUAGAUUUCUUCAGUAAUUUAAUGAGUUGUCAGCAAUAAUCAAGUGUUCAUUUGAUGAACUUGAUUUCCUAAAACAUACAGAACUGGAGCUCAUAUCUUUGGCAGCUGUAAAGUUUCUGCUCCUUCAAAGUUUACAACACAAUGAAUGAAUUCCUAAAACACUCUCAAUGCUGGCGAGCGUUUGAUGCUGAAGCAGUGAUCAGUUUUUCAGUUUCUUCUCUGGAGAUGCACAAUGAGGGACGUCUGCAGAGACUGAGAAAGAAUCUCACCACAUCCUGACAUGAGGAAAAAGACUUUAUUGAAGACUACAAUGAGAAAAACUAUCAGACAGCAGACAGCAUGCAUUCAAGGUGAGCUCUGAACAUCUAAUCUGGAACAGGAAUUCAAUAACGGCAGCAUGAGCUUCAUUUCAGUCUGUAGCUGCUGAAUUCAUGGAUGAAUCAUCUGGCACUAGAGAGGAAGACCAUCAAACAUCCACGUCAGCUGAUGGAGGUCCAAGAGUCUCACCAAACAAACAACCUACAGAGUGAAGACCUCAAAUCUGAUUGGACGGCCUCCUAUUCAUCCACGUGUGAACAAAUGCCUCUAAGUUGAUUUGUUUUCUAAAAUAAAUCUAGUUUGAG